rnacentral:lncRNA from 1 species
CCAGGGUCACCUCAUUUGCCUCCUGACGAACUGAGGCAAAAUCUGUAUCCUCCAUAUCCGCAGGGAACAACUCCUCCAGCCCAAGUGGUAGCUUCGGUGGGGGAUCCAAAUCAAAGGGUGGCAGUACUGUCGAACCCAAGAACAUCACAGAUGGAGGUCUCUAGACCCCUCCGCUUCUUCUCCAACUCAGCCAGUAAACCAUCAUCCUCCUACCAAGGCUACUUCUCUGCGACCCGCUCCCCUUC